rfam:Fibrobacter succinogenes subsp. succinogenes S85, complete genome.
UAUCAUGUCUACGGGAGCUCGUAAAACGGGCUGAGAGGAAGUUGAAAACUUCGACCGAACCUGAUUUGGAUAAUGCCAACGUAGGGAGGUUCCAUUGAACUCAA